CAAGCGACCCAGCUGGUAACCAACUUAAUAGACUUGGGUGUUUAUACCAAGAAGGUCAUCAUUCAGAUUAUUUCUGGGUAUUUCCUUAGUUUCUUUGCCAACAUCCUCCUUCAAGUUUACUCAAGAUGGAGCAAGCCUGCAUCCCUUUGGUAAUCUCAUCUGAGCCUUUCCACUUUUCUUCCAGAGAGCUAACACUUCAGUGUGAAACUUUGUCUGGUCUUCCUUUUUUAUAUAACAUUAAUGCAUACAAAACUUACACAAUGUUGUAUGCAGGUUAUGAAGCAUAAAAAAUGAAGCCCCGAACCUACCACCAGUCUUAAGAUGAGUACCAUUGAAUCUGCCUGCGUGUUUCUCCCUGUCAUAUCCCUGCCUCACACCUUAAGGACAACCACUCUCCUGAGUUGUUUCUCAUUUCCUUUAUAAAAAUUGUUCACAUAUGUAUCUCUAAACAAUAUGCUGUUUUGCUUUGUCCUUAAGUUUCAUAAAAACGGCAUCAUGCUGAAAAUAGCGCUUUCUUUACUAGCAUUGUUUCUCAGACCCAUCCAUGUUGUGUGUAGCUGUAGUUAGUCCAUUGUGUGAUUAUAGCAUCAUAUAUUUAUCUGUUUUCCUGUUGUGAAUAUUUGGCAUGUUUCCAGUUUCUGUAAUUAUGAACCACGACCUUUCUUGCACAUGUCUCUUAGUGCACACGUAGAAGAGUUUCUCUAGAGUGUAUAAAAACAGGAGGAGUCCCCCAGGG